rnacentral:rRNA from 1 species
UGCGUUGUUGGGUAGGGGAGCGUUCUGUAAGCCUGCGAAGGUGUGCUGUGAGGCAUGCUGGAGGUAUCAGAAGUGCGAAUGCUGAUAUAAGUAACGAUAAAGCGGGUGAAAAGCCCGCUCGCCGGAAGACCAAGGGUUCCUGUCCAACGUUAAUCGGGGCAGGGUGAGUCGACCCCUAAGGCGAGGCCGAAAGGCGUAGUCGAUGGGAAACAGGUUAAUAUUCCUGUACUUGGUGUUACUGCGAAGGGGGGACGGAGAAGGCUAUGUUGGCCGGGCGACGGUUGUCCCGGUUUAAGCGUGUAGGCUGGUUUUCCAGGCAAAUCCGGAAAAUCAAGGCUGAGGCGUGAUGACGAGGCACUACGGUGCUGAAGCAACAAAUGCCCUGCUUCCAGGAAAAGCCUCUAAGCAUCAGGUAACAUCAAAUCGUACCCCAAACCGACACAGGUGGUCAGGUAGAGAAUACCAAGGCGCUUGAGAGAACUCGGGUGAAGGAACUAGGCAAAAUGGUGCCGUAACUUCGGGAGAAGG